UCAAAAUCAAAACAUGUUAGCAGAAACACGCAAGGCACGUAUUAAAUAGAGUGUUGGAAUACCCUUACAUAGUGAGCUUCUGCUUCUUAUUGCAGAAAAAUCUGUUUCAUAUAGCGCAUAUAAACAACAACAAAAAAGGGUUUAUUUUCAUGGUAUCAUCUCAUACUUGGGCUUCCCUAUGUAUGGGUAGGUGGAAGAGUGGAGGGAAGGGGUGAGCAAGCGUUUAAAGUACAAUAAGGGUGUGUUUGUGUAAUUAAAUGGAGGCUGACCUGCAUGGACCUGGAUAUUCGCCUGUCAGGAGGCACAUCACUAUACUUGCCGGGCACAGUGAGAUCACAAGUACAGGGAGAUGUGGCACAGCCAAGUAGAUCUGUUCCCCCGAUACGCAAUGCUGUGAUUACUGGUGUUGUAAAGAGAACACUGUGGGGCUACAAUUUUAUGUUUCAGUGUGAAUUCCAGCAUUAAACUGGCCAGACCUCCAGCUUCACUCAAGUGGCCUAUGGGAGACUUGCUCACCGCGAUGUGGGAGUGUGCUGAUGUUCUGGGAGAGUAGCUAUUCUGUUGAGCGAGAAGAGGCUGAAAUUGAAAUGCUACAAUCACUACACCAGGAUUUUGAGACAAAACCCUUCAGAAACAUAGCACAUUACCUGGUGGUCUUGUGGUCUCUUGCCUUCUCCAGGUGGCAGCAUGCUCUUCUGGGGAUGAGUUCCAGUGCAGGCGUCUGAGGAUCAAAAUUCAGGUGUAUCAAGAAGACGCCUAUCAAGAUUUCUGUUUUGUUAUUUGCAGCUUUAGAAUGCAUGCUGCACCACUAUCAAGGCGCAAGAUCUUACUUCCUACUUCAAGGACAAGAUGAAUAAGAUCCAAGAUGAAAUGGUAUGCUCUUCGUUAGUCAGUGACCUGCUCACUUUUAUACCUGAACCCUCUGGCAUUAUCUCUUUAUUUGAUCCCACAAAUGAAGGUGAAGUGUCAACACUCUUCUCAUCCUGCUACUCUACUACCUCAACUUUUGAGCCUAUACCCUCACAGAGCCCGGCGCGCAAGCGCAUUGGGAAACGGCGUCGGUUGCCAUGGUGAUCGACCCGGGACCCAAUCGAUAUGUCAUAGCCACGGAACGCCGCAAGUGGACGGGCGAUACAUGCAACGGGGAGUCCAUGAGACGCCGAAAGUCCCCCUGCACCAGGUGGUGCUGAAGGCGCGGGUGAAGCUCCUCUUCGCUUAUUGGUGGCACUAGCUUUAUAAGCCUUAUCUGCUCGUAGAUGAGGAUAGUUCAACAACACUAGAGCCGUCGCCAGAGCUUCUGUCACCUGUAUUCUACUCCACCACCACCACCAGAACCAAGCAAGCCUCGCAGCUGCCUGAAGUAGGCCACAGGAGAGGACAUAAAAGGCCACGUCUGGGUGGGGAUAUGUCUGAGCUUAUUACUCGGCAUAUCCUUGAGUGAACCAAUCGGUUAAUGGCAAUGGAUGAGAAUAAGCAGUACCACGUGGGCUGCACGGUAGCCAAAACGUUACGGCGCAUGGAUCCUGAACAAAAGCAGAGAAGAUUAUUGGGGAUAUUUUUUUUCCGGGACAGUUUGGUACCCUUAACGGACACACCUUGUUAACAAAUGACAAAUGAUUAUUCCUUGGUCCAGCAACUACAAUUUUUUCUCCUCUUUUUUUUUUUUUAUAGCUUGUGAAUGUUGUCACCAUGGCAGCAACAAUACAAGCACAAGCCUUUCUUCUUUUCAAACUCAUGAUGGGGACUGAAAUUAACAAAUGUAUUCGCACUAGAAGAGUAGAAAAGUGAUGUGAUGUCAUUUCUCUGUUUAGGUUCUGUAAUCAAGCCCUUUUCCUGCCCAUUAUGGUAAUUCUGUUUACAUUGGUGGUACAAUCAUUUUCUUUCAGUAGGGGGAUUGAACAGCGCAAGUAAAAUUGUAUGGAUGUGUACGCGCAUAUCGGCUAUUUUUGGGGGACGUUCGGUCGGGAGUUUAGUCGAACGAACCAUUGCAUCUAAAGUCUGAUUGUAUAGGUGUGUACUGAGCUUUAGACUUAAACAAUAUUUUGUAGCUAAAAAAGACAAUUUAUUAAAAACAAUAUCCUAUGACCUAUGCAAUAGUUAAUAUACCACAAUAUAACAAAAGAGGAGGAGGAGGAGUAUGUCUUUAUGUUAAACCAUCACUUAAACCAGGGAUGGGGAACCUUUGGCCCUCCAGCUG